GAUGAAGAACGUAGCGAAAUGCGAUAAGUAAUGUGAAUUGCAGAAUUCAGUGAAUCAUCGAAUCUUUGAACGCACCUUGCACCCUUUGGCAUUCCGAAGGGUAUGCUCGUUUGAGUGUCAUUGUACUCUCACACUUCUGAUCCUUUGGAUUGGGAGCGGUGGACUUGGGUGUUGCUGCUUUACUGUGGCUCACCUCAAAUGCAUUAGUGCAACUCUUGGUUGGACAUAGUACGGCGUGAUAAGUAUCUUCGCCGGCACCUCGCAAGAGGGUGGCUGAUCAGGAGCUCUGUGCUUUCCAACUGUCUUCAGACAACAACUGACAACUUGACCUCAAAUCGAGUAGGACCACCCGCUGAACUUAAGCAUAUCAAUAAGCGGAGGA
rnacentral:misc_RNA from 1 species